rnacentral:misc_RNA from 1 species
GAUGAAGAACGCAGCGAAAUGCGAUAAGUAAUGCGAAUUGCAGAAUUCCAGUGAAUCAUCGAAUCUUUGAACGCACAUUGCGCCCCUUGGUAUUCCAUGGGGCAUGCCUGUUCGAGCGUCAUUUGUACCUUCAAGCUUUGCUUGGUGUUGGGUGUUUGUCCCGAGGGACUCGCCUUAAAGUAAUUGGCAGCCAGUGUUUGGUUUUGAAGCGCAGCACAAGUCGCGAUUCAAGGCUACACGCCCGCUUCCACAAGCCUUUUUUCACUUUUGACCUCGGAUCAGGUAGGGAUACCCGCUGAACUUAAGCAUAUCAAUAAGCGGAGGA